AAUGAAUUGCCUGACAAAAGGAUUACUUUGAUAGAGUAAAACAUGUAAUUUUAUUACAUUCAUUA
rnacentral:tRNA from 1 species